rnacentral:lncRNA from 1 species
GACCAAAGAGGUUGGCAAGAACCCACUUAAGAGAAGAAGGCAGCAGAGUUGAAGAUCAGCCUUCCUGAUGUUCAGAACACAAGUUAUUUUAAUCUCUAUCCUGACAGUUGUGGAAAUAACUCCAAAGCCUCACCCCACAGGCUUAUAGGAAAUUUGGCCUUCUCCUACACUCUGCAAUCAGACACCCAUCCUCUGCCUUGUCAGGAAGG